CAGCAGCCGCGGUAAUACGAAGGGGGCUAGCGUUGUUCGGAUUUACUGGGCGUAAAGGGCGCGUAGGCGGACUGAUAAGUCAGGGGUGAAAUCCCAAGGCUCAACCUUGGAACUGCCUUUGAUACUGUUUGUCUUGAGUUCGAGAGAGGUAAGUGGAACUGCGAGUGUAGAGGUGAAAUUCGUAGAUAUUCGCAAGAACACCAGUGGCGAAGGCGGCUUACUGGCUCGAAACUGACGCUGAGGCGCGAAAGCGUGGGGAGCAAACAGGAUUAGAUACCCGCGUAGUCCCUGUCUCUUAUAC
rnacentral:rRNA from 1 species